AGAGACUUUUAUAACAACAAGGGUGAAAUCUGUACUCAAGUUAAAUUUCUUGUUUAAAGCAUCUUUUAGGUAGUUAAACGACUAGGAUUAGAUACCCUAUUAGUCUAUCCUUAGUUAACCUGGGUAGUAACAUUAAAACCUAAAGAAUUUGGCGGUUUCUAAACUUACUAGAGGAACCUGUCCCGUAAACGACAACCCACGAAAAAAUCAACCCAGACUUGUUAUCCAGCUUAUAUACCGUCGUUUAGGGGAUUAAACAAAUAGAUCUCCUUAAGAGCUUAGGCUAAUAAAUCAGAUCAAGGUGUAGCUUAUGUUUGGGUGAGGAUGGGUUACAAUGAAAAUUCAUACGGAACCUUUAUAUUAUUGUAAAGGAGAAGGUGGAUUUAGAAGUAAGACUUAACACACUGAAGAAAGCCCUGAGAAAUGUACACAUCGCCCGUCGCUCUCUUGUCCGAAGAGAUAAGUCGUAACAAAGUAGGUGUAUCGGAAGGUUCAUCUUGAAAGA
rnacentral:rRNA from 1 species